rnacentral:rRNA from 1 species
AGAGUUUGAUCCUGGCUCAGGAUGAACGCUAGCGGGAGGCUUAACACAUGCAAGUCGAGCGGGAUUGGUAGCAAUACCAUGAGAGCGGCGCACGGGUGCGUAACGCGUAUGCAACCUGCCUUAUACAAAGGGAUAGCCCAUGGAAACGUGGAUUAAUAUCUUAUAGGACUUAUGAAUCGCAUGGUUUAUAAGUUAAAACUGAGGUGGUAUAAGAUGGGCAUGCGUCUGAUUAGGUAGUUGGUAGGGUAACGGCCUACCAAGCCGACGAUCAGUAGGGGUUCUGAGAGGAUUACCCCCCACACUGGUACUGAGACACGGACCAGACUCCUACGGGAGGCAGCAGUGAGGAAUAUUGGUCAAUGGGCGAAAGCCUGAACCAGCCAUCCCGCGUGCAGGAUGACGGCCCUAUGGGUUGUAAACUGCUUUUGUGCAGGAAGAACGUCCCGAUCGUGAUCGGGAGUGACGGUACUGCAUGAAUAAGCACCGGCUAACUCCGUGCCAGCAGCCGCGGUAAUACGGAGGGUGCAAGCGUUAUCCGGAUUUAUUGGGUUUAAAGGGUGCGUAGGCGGUAAAAUAAGUCAGUGGUGAAAAGCUGCAGCUCAACUGUAGUCCUGCCAUUGAAACUGUUUUACUUGAGUAACCAUGAGGUAGGCGGAAUGUGUAGUGUAGCGGUGAAAUGCUUAGAUAUUACACAGAACACCGAUUGCGUAGGCAGCUUACUAGAGGUUCACUGACGCUGAUGCACGAAAGCGUGGGGAUCAAACAGGAUUAGAUACCCUGGUAGUCC